rnacentral:rRNA from 1 species
GUCUGUGGCCCUACAACAUUGAACACAUUCAAUCUCGUGUGAUCCCAGGAACUAAGCCUGCUCAGGUCUGGUUAGUAUUAAUAUUUAGAUGGGAGACCAACUGGGAAUACCAGGUGCUGUAGGCU